ensembl:lncRNA
GCAGGUAUGCUGACUGAUAGUCCAGCAGGGAGGAGAGCAUCUGAGCAACCCUAACACCCAGCAUCAAUUGACUUUUGGUGAUGGUGGUGUCAAACGGAUCAGAGGUGACCAAGCUUCCUUCUUCUGAGGGCAGACUGCCAGUACCAAAGUGGUGUUGCUAUGGAGAAUUCCAAGUACAGUGUUGGACAAUCACGGCCUUUUAACUAGCAGUCCUGUGGUUUUGAGAGCUUCAACCUCUGCCUAGAGAAGGGUUCCUAAAUUUAAGUCUCCUACAUCAAGAUGAGAUGAAUUGUGCCAUAGACAUACCUAUUCCCCUCCUUGGAGUGCAAAGGGGCUCUGGACAAUUCCAUCUGAGUUAGUCUCAACCCUAAAACUGGGUACUGUGGCUGGAACAGGAGAAUUGUUUUAGUAAAGGGAGCCUAGGAUGUCUAGAUUUCACUGUAACUGCAUGUAGAAGUUCAUGAGCCAAACAGGAGGAUAAGGCAAAACCAUUCUUGGACUUUCUCAAGAAUGUCCAGUUGAUAUUUUAAUGAACCUCUGGGUGUGAAACAAAACCAUCACCUAUUCAGAGGACAGGAACAUUUAACAAGAAGAGCUGAUGGCUUUCACAGAUAGAACAGAGAUGAUUUGAGGUUGUGUAAAAUGCACUUGCAGAACUCCUUUUGGUUCAUCUGUUUGGAACCAGAAGUUCGGUGCUUAGAAGUACAGUGGGGAAAAAAAUCUUGUUCUGUUGUUGACCACACUCUGAC